UACAGAGGUCCCGAGCGUUGCUCGGAAUCACUGGGCGUAAAGCGCACGUAGGCGGCUUUUUAAGUCAGGGGUGAAAUCCUGGAGCUCAACUCCAGAACUGCCUUUGAUACUGGGAAGCUCGAGUCCGGGAGAGGUGAGUGGAACUCCGAGUGUAGAGGUGAAAUUCGUAGAUAUUCGGAAGAACACCAGUGGCGAAGGCGGCUCACUGGCCCGGUACUGACGCUGAGGUGCGAAAGCGUGGGGAGCAAACAGG
rnacentral:rRNA from 1 species